AACGAACGCUGGCGGCGCGCCUAAUACAUGCAAGUCGAGCGAGAAGACGUAGCAAUACGUUUGUAAAGCGGCGAACGGGUGAGGAAUACAUGGGUAACCUACCCUCGAGUGGGGAAUAACUAGCCGAAAGGUUAGCUAAUACCGCGUACGCUCCUUGGACUUCGGUUCAGGGAGGAAAGCGAUACCGUGGGUAUCGCGCUCUUGGAUGGGCUCAUGUCCUAUCAGCUUGUUGGUGAGGUAACGGCUCACCAAGGCUUCGACGGGUAGCUGGUCUGAGAGGACGAUCAGCCACACUGGCACUGCGACACGGGCCAGACUCCUACGGGAGGCAGCAGUAAGGAAUAUUGCGCAAUGGGCGAAAGCCUGACGCAGCGACGCCGCGUGGGGGAUGAAGGUCUUCGGAUUGUAAACCCCUUUCGGGAGGGAAGAUGGAACGAGCAAUCGUUCGGACGGUACCUCCAGAAGCAGCCACGGCUAACUUCGUGCCAGCCGCCGCCGUAAGAC
rnacentral:rRNA from 1 species